UAAUAUCAUUCGUGCAUGAUAAUCCAACGAUUGGAAAGGAUCGUACCAUUGGAUUGAAUGAAGGUGAAGCUUUUGGCGCAGCUGAUCAUCCGUUGCCCCUGCCCUUUCUAAUCUUCUCAACUUCCCUCGUCUCUUUCAACACUCAAACCCGCACAGUCAAAGGGAUUGGGAAAAACGACUAAACAAUACACAAACUUCGAGAGAAGAACAAGAAGGCAUUUGGGCUUAAAUUUAGAACUCAAAAAUAAGGCCAGAUUCGGCACAUUAGAGAAGAGAGCAGAACAAGGUGAGUCACCCGGUAUCUGAAGUCAAAUGGGUUUUUCAAUGUCUGGUUGUGUUGCAGAUUUACUUGAAUUUGGGGGAUGCUAUGGAAUCAGGUUUCCUUUUUCUGUUGGAUAUUGAACGUUUCGAAAUUUUCAUUAAAAAGUCGCCGAAAUUUUUUUCCUGCUCAAUUUAUGGGCUUCUAGUGGCCGGAAAACGAUUUAUCAGAGAAUUUUAAAUCCACAUUAUGCGGUGGCAUGCCGUAGCCGCAUGGACUUGGGAUGCACAAGAUGAAACCUGUGGAAUUUGUAGGAUGGCUUUUGAUGGUUGCUGUCCUGACUGUAAACUCCCUGGGGAUGAUUGCCCUCUGAGUAGCUAACUUUAGUCGCUUCAAUGACCUUUGAUGUUAUUUAUGGUGCCAAUUUGGUCAAUGGCGUUGGACAAGUAUUGUGAAACUCUUAAUCUAAUAUCCCGACUCAUUGUUAAAAUAAUGUUCAUUUUAGAUAUUC